UGGGCAAGGGUUACUAAGGGAGGAAGGAGGGUGUUGCAAGAGAGUAUUCAGACCCGAACAACACUUGAAUUUUAGUAUCUAUUCUUCCGGGCUGGACCAAUUGGGCAAGCCUCGUAGUCUAUAAGCUCUUCUAGGGCUUGUAAUUUGGAAGUUUUCAUUUUGUUUGAAUUUGAGAUGGAUUAUAUAGAUGGUUACUUGUGUCGCCUAUUUUUCCUUCUCAUGACUAGGCAUUUUUAUUGUGUAUUAGGACUAUCAUAUUUUUACACUAUCCCACCAUCGACACAACCUUGUAAUAGAACUUUACAAAACUGUACCCCCAAAAAAAUUAUAAAUCCAUAGCAAGGUUUGCAUGUCAUGCGGGCCGCCCAGGUCUAUGGAU
rnacentral:lncRNA from 1 species